rnacentral:tRNA from 1 species
GGGGAUUUGGCUCAGCAGUAUAAGCACCUGCCUGACAAGCAUGAGGUCAUGAUUUCAAUCCCCG